CUCGUGUUUCAUGACUCUGACCUCACACUAAGAUGAGAUUUUUCUUGGUUUGGUUUUUUGAAAAAAAGUAGUGGGGGUUGGGUCAUAUCAUCUCAUGUACGAUUGGAUUGGAUUGGAGCAUCCAUCCAUGAUCCAUCCAUCAGCAAAGCAAACAGAGACCUUUCUUUCAGAACUUCCUAGAAUCCUAGGCAGUAUCAUAUACCCCGAAGAGCUCUCUCUCUCUCUCUCUCUCUCUCUCUCUCUCUCAAGCACAAAAUUGUUGAGUGUGGCUUCCUACCCUUAUUUAUAUGAAGGCCAUGGUAUCAAGAAAGAAAAGAAAAAAAAGCACGGUGUUAGCAAAAACUUUGGUAUGGGUAUGGAGUGGGAAAGAGAAUUGUUCUACAGCCGCAUGUUGAUGGAUGGGUAUGUUGCUGAUCGAUGAUGUAUUUUAAUUAUUGCUGCUUUGGCUUGUAAUUAUAAGCACAUGACAAUUUAAUAGUGCUUUAUGUUUAUUUCAUGU